rnacentral:rRNA from 1 species
UACGGAGGAUGCGAGCGUUAUCCGGAUUUAUUGGGUUUAAAGGGUGCGUAGGCGGACUGUCAAGUCAGCGGUAAAAUUGAGAGGCUCAACCUCUUCCCGCCGUUGAAACUGGUGGUCUUGAGUGGAUGAGAAGUACGCGGAAUGCGUGGUGUAGCGGUGAAAUGCAUAGAUAUCACGCAGAACUCCGAUUGCGAAGGCAGCGUACCGGCAUCCAACUGACGCUGAAGCACGAAGGCGUGGGUAUCGAACAGG